UGGGGAAUAUUGCACAAUGGGCGCAAGCCUGAUGCAGCCAUGCCGCGUGUGUGAAGAAGGCCUUCGGGUUGUAAAGCACUUUCAGCGAGGAGGAAGGUGGUGGACUUAAUACGUUCAUCAAUUGACGUUACUCGCAGAAGAAGCACCGGCUAACUCCGUGCCAGCAGCCGCGGUAAUACGGAGGGUGCAAGCGUUAAUCGGAAUUACUGGGCGUAAAGCGCACGCAGGCGGUUUGUUAAGUCAGAUGUGAAAUCCCCGGGCUCAACCUGGGAACUGCAUUUGAAACUGGCAAGCUAGAGUCUCGUAGAGGGGGGUAGAAUUCCAGGUGUAGCGGUGAAAUGCGUAGAGAUCUGGAGGAAUACCGGUGGCGAAGGCGGCCCCCCUGGACGAAGACUGACGCUCAGGUGCGAAAGCGUGGGGAGCAAACAGAUUAGAUACCCUGGUAGUCCACGCUGUAAACGAUGUCGAUUUGGAGGUUGUGCCCUUGAGGCGUGG
rnacentral:rRNA from 1 species